UAGGCGUAAAUGAUGCGAGUUAAGUGUGGGGGCGAUCUACGAGAUGGCCCUCGUGCUGUAGGGUAGCCGUUAAACUCGCUGCCUGGGGAGGUACGGUCGCAAGGCUGAAACUUAAAGGAAUUGGCGGGGGGAGGCACCACAAGAGGUGGAGGCUGCGGUUCAAUUGGACUCAACGCCGGAAACUACAUCGGGAGCGACAGCAGUAUGAUUGCCAGGUUGAUGACCUUGCUUGACAAGCUGAGAGGAGGUGCAUGGCGUAGUCGUGU
rnacentral:rRNA from 1 species